rnacentral:piRNA from 1 species
UGGGACGUUCUACGUCAGUUGGUGGCUUGU